rnacentral:rRNA from 1 species
GACGAAGGGGGCUAGCGUUGUUCGGAAUUACUGGGCGUAAAGCGCGUGUAGGCGGUUAUCCAAGUCGGGUGUGAAAGCCCUGGGCUCAACCCAGGAAGUGCAUUCGAUACUGCCGAGCUUGAGUCCUGGAGAGGAAGGCGGAAUUCUCGGUGUAGAGGUGAAAUUCGUAGAUAUCGAGAGGAACACCGGUGGCGAAGGCGGCCUUCUGGACAGUGACUGACGCUGAGACGCGAAAGCGUGGGGAGCAAACAGG